AUCAGGAUGGCCGAGUGGUCUAAGGUGCCAGACUCAAGUUCUGGUCUCCAUAUGGAGACAUGGGUUCAAAUCCCAAUUCUGACA